UUAACAUUCUACUUCGUUAAUUGGUUAAGGAAAGAAAUUCAAAAAAAAUGAGGAAAUGAAUGAUAAAGUAAAUGAAAGUAUAUAAGAAGAAUCAAGUCAAGUUUUAAUCACUUGAAAAUACACCUUAAGGAUGAAAACAGUGCAAGAUUAUAUUUAAAUAGAGGAAGUUUAUUUGAAAAGAAUUGAUUUUGAUCCUUGACAUGCUUGUUCUUAAUAUUUUAAUGCAUGACUUAACACAUAAUAUAUUUUGUAUGUGGCAUGAUGUUUUGAAUUAUGGGUUCUCAAUAUUUUGUAAUGCUCCAUGCUUGGAUAAUUUGAUUGAAUGUUUGAAAUACUGCAUAAUUUUUUUUUGAUAUUAUUAAAAAAAAUUUCAGAUUUGUCGUUUACGAUCAUAUUUGAAAUCUGAAAGUUGAAUAAAUUUGUAAAAAGGAGAAGAGAAGGAUAUCUCUAUUUAGGCAAAAUGAAUUGAUUUUGUUUUAUCUUUCAACUUGCCUAACUUUGGUACAUAAUGUUCUAAUUCGUACCAAAACUCAACAUUAAAUACAAAGAUUCUGAAUAUGCUCUAAUAUGUUUGAAAUAUGUAUUUUCAAUCGUAAUGAUUUAAGAUGAGCUACAAUGUGGAAAAUACAUAUCUCAAAUUAUAACUUUGAAAGCCUCCUUGAAAAUCUUUAUGAAGUUCAGAAUCCGAUUUUGUAUAAAAGCUUAAACUUAAUUUAAAAAUGCUUAUAUUGUUACAUCUUUGUAACCUUAAUUAUAUGCCUCAAUGAUCAAAUCAUUCAGGAGUGUUGCCCAAGGUGACAACCCAAGAGGGGGGGUGAAUUGGGUUUUUCUAAAUUUUUGGUGCUUUAAAAGUUUUCUUGUUAAGAGCGGUAGAAGCUUUCUUAAGUUAUUUGUGUGAACUUACCCUAGAGCAAAAAUCAAAUAUAAAGCAAGAAUAAAUACAAGAACAAGCACAACACAAACAAGACAAUGUAUAGUGGUUCGGUGCACCCCAAGCACCUACGUCCACUUCCCAAGCCUCUUCUUGGGAAUUCACUAUAAUCCGUCGGAUUACAGUUGGAUUGUUUUCCGGGCUCACAAUCCAAAAAUCUUUACACUUGGUUUUCCGAGAUCACCAAAAACCUAUGUUGGUUUUACGGGCUCACCAACAAACCUUCACCGUUGGUUUUACGGGUUCACCAACAAACCUACACCGUUGGUUUUACGGGUUCACCAACAAACCUUCGUUGGUUUUGCGGGCUUAACAACAACCUACAAUGAUGGUUUUACGGGCUUACCAACAAACCUUACAACAAGAGUAAUAAGUAAAGAAUGAAAGCUCCUAAAAGAGCAAAUAUAACAAAUAUGCACAAAAAGAAGAGAGUAGAAAAUAAUUAUCCCUUUGUAGAUUGCUCUUCUCUUCUUUUCCAAGGUUGCUUCACUCUUCAAUGAAUUGGUUGAGCUCUUGAAGGCACUUGAAUUCUGCUCAACACACUUCUUUUGGGUUUGAACUUGAAGCAAUAACCUUAACUUUCUUGGAUUUCCUCUUUCUCUUGAAUGCACACUUAGAUUCCCACCAAGAUCCCUUCCUUUGAUGAAUAGUGGCUCUUAAAUACUUCUCCAACCUCCAAAGAUUACUUUCCUACCGUUGGAAUGAAGAAAGUAGCCGUUUAUAGCCGUUGGGGACUUAAAAGUACAUGUGC
rnacentral:lncRNA from 1 species